rnacentral:lncRNA from 1 species
CUCCCUGGGAACCAGCUAUACUCUGCACUUGUUAUCUUCUUUGCAUUCCUGCUGACAUCCUGGAAAGGGAUGAGAGAGAGGUGGAGAGAGAAGAAAUGGAAAUUCAAAAGUUUUGACGGCAGAGGAAAAUUGUGCUUAUUUCCAGAAUGAGACGAACAAGGUCCUGGGUCCCUACAUGUCAUACUGGCUAGAGACUGAAGUCUUUGAAAGCCUUGGAGAUAACCAGAAAAUGAAGGAAGCCCUCCACCACUGAGUUUCAGGGCAAAGGGAAGAAACAAGAUAAAGUAGAACCGUCAGUACAAGUGGAAUUAUUAAUGACGUCCAAAUGCAGUCAUUAAAUACUAUCAGACUUAUUUAUUGACUCCUGAUAUUAAGAGUGAACAAACCCCUGGCCAAGUGGGAACUUGCUCGGUAGCCUUUAUCUUUCUAUCACUCAUUCAGUCAAUUCAUUAAAGCCUGUUUGUCUCUCCCA